UACGGUAGGGGGCUAGCGUUGUCCGGAAUCAUUGGGCGUAAAGCGCGUGUAGGCGGCUCGGUAAGUCCGCUCUGAAAGCCUGGGCUCAACCCCAGGAGGCGGGUGGAUACUGCCGGGCUCGAGUCCGGAAGAGGCGAGUGGAAUUCCCGGUGUGAGCGGUGAAAUGCGCAGAUAUCGGGAGGAACACCAAUGGCGAAGGCAGCUCGCUGGGACGGUACUGACGCUGAGACGCGAAGCGUGGGAGCAA
rnacentral:rRNA from 1 species